AAUGUUGUUCAAAUGUAAGGAUGUUUCGGGUAGAUCAUGUGAUUUUAAGAAAUCGACGCGCACGUGACCAGUACAUGUUCAGCUCGGUACUUUCGGUUUAAAUCCCGGGAGACACCCUACUACUCAGGCUUUGAGGGCGUUACCUCUGAAGGAGUAACAGCAGAGCUUUCACAUACUCUUAUCUGCUUCUGACGCAGGACCGAAGUAUAAGCUUAAAACUGCUAAGGACACUGAAAUCAUGACAGAUCACGAUCCAGAAGAUGAAAUGGACACAGAAGACAUCACCAAUUUCAGUAGCUAUGAACACACAGAUGAGACCAUUACAAGUGUGGAAAACCAAAUGAUAUCAGGAAAUUACGAGGAUAAUAAAGACACACAGAAGAACUCACUGACAUCGCAAGCUGGAAUAAACUGUCCCACAACAUCCAGACAUUCCCAAGCUGAUGAGCAUGAAGGGUUGAAAAGGGUUGCUGUUAUUUAUACAGAAAUGUCCAGAGUAGCUCCUGAACACAACCAAGCUGAUGGUAGU